rnacentral:rRNA from 1 species
AAGUCGAGGGGUACAGAGGAGCUUGCUCUUGCUGACGACCGGCGCACGGGUGCGUAACGCGUAUACAAUCUGCCUUACACUAAGGGAUAGCCCAGAGAAAUUUGGAUUAACACCUUAUAGUUUAUUUUUAUGGCAUCAUUUAAAUAAUAAAGUUUACGGUGUAAGAUGAGUAUGCGUCCCAUUAGUUUGUUGGUAAGGUAACGGCUUACCAAGACUACGAUGGGUAGGGGCCCUGAGAGGGGGAUCCCCCACACUGGUACUGAGACACGGACCAGACUCCUACGGGAGGCAGCAGUGAGGAAUAUUGGACAAUGGAGGAGACUCUGAUCCAGCCAUGCCGCGUGCAGGAAGACGGUCCUAUGGAUUGUAAACUGCUUUUAUACAGGAAGAAUAAGGACUACGUGUAGUCUGGUGACGGUACUGUAAGAAUAAGGACCGGCUAACUCCGUGCCAGCAGCCGCGGUAAUACGGAGGGUCCGAGCGUUAUCCGGAAUUAUUGGGUUUAAAGGGUCCGUAGGCGGGCUGUUAAGUCAGGGGUGAAAGUUUGCAGCUCAACUGUAGAAUUGCCUUUGAUACUGAUGGUCUUGAAUUAUUGUGAAGUGGUUAGAAUAUGUAGUGUAGCGGUGAAAUGCAUAGAUAUUACAUAGAAUACCGAUUGCGAAGGCAGAUCACUAACAAUUGAUUGACGCUGAUGGACGAAAGCGUGGGUAGCGAACAGGAUUAGAUACCCUGGUAGUCCACGCCGUAAACGAUGGAUACUAGCUGUUUGGAUUUCGAUCUGAGCGGCCAAGCGAAAGUGAUAAGUAUCCCACCUGGGGAGUACGUUCGCAAGAAUGAAACUCAAAGGAAUUGACGGGGGCCCGCACAAGCGGUGGAGCAUGUGGUUUAAUUCGAUGAUACGCGAGGAACCUUACCAGGGCUUAAAUGUAGAUUGACAGGUUUAGAGAUAGACUUUCCUUCGGGCAAUUUACAAGGUGCUGCAUGGUUGUCGUCAGCUCGUGCCGUGAGGUGUCAGGUUAAGUCCUAUAACGAGCGCAACCCCUGUUGUUAGUUACCAGCACAUUAUGGUGGGGACUCUAGCAAGACUGCCGGUGCAAACCGUGAGGAAGGUGGGGAUGACGUCAAUCAUCACGGCCCUUACGUCCUG